CCAAUAGCGUAUAUUAAAGUUGUUGCAGUUAAAAAGCUCGUAGUUGAAUUUCGGGGUUAGUAGGUUGGUCAUGCCUCUGGUAUGUACUGGUCUCACUGAUUCCUCCUUCCUUAUGAACCGUAAUGCCAUUAAUUUGGUGUUGCGGGGAAUUUGGACUGUUACUUUGAAAAAAUUAGAGUGUUUAAAGCAAGCUAACGCUUGAAUACAUUAGCAUGGAAUAAUGAAAUAGGACGUUCGAUCUUAUUUUGUUGGUUUCUAGGAUUGACGUAAUGAUUAAUAGGGAUAGUUGGGGGCAUUAGUAUUCAAUUGUCAGAGGUGAAAUUCUUGGAUUUAUUGAAGACUAACUACUGCGAAAGCAUUUGCCAAGGAUGUUUUCAUUAAUCAAGAACGAAAGUUAGGGGAUCGAAGACGACCAGAUACCGUCGUAGUCUUAACCAUAAACUAUGCCGACUAGGGAUCGGAUGAUGUUAAUUUUUUAAUGACUCAUUCGGCGCCUUACG
rnacentral:rRNA from 1 species